rnacentral:lncRNA from 9 species
UGUCACUUAAUUUUUUUUCUACUGUACAGCAUGGUGACCCAGUUACAGAUACAUGUAUACAUUCUUUUUCUCACAUUAUCAUGCUCCAUCAUAAGUGACUAGACUUAGUCCCCAGUGCUACACAGGAGGAUCUCAUUGCUAAGCCAUUCCAAAGGAAAUAGUUUGCAUCUAUUAACCCCAAGCUCCCUAUCCAUCCCAUUCUCUCCCCCUCUCCCUUGCAACCACUAGUCUAUUCUCCAAGUCCAUGAUUUCUUUUCUGUGGAAAGGUUCAUUUGUGCCAUAUGUUAGAUUCCAGAUGUAAGUGAAAUCAUAUGGUAUUUGUCUUUCUCUUUCUGACUUACUUCAGUCAGUAUGAGAGUCUCUAGAUCCAUCCAUGUUGCUGCAAAUGGCAUUAUUUGGUUCUUUUUUAUGGCUGAGUAGUAUUCCAUUGUGUAUAUAUACCACAUCUUCCUAAUUCAAUCAUCUGUCAAUGGACAUUUGGGUUGUUUCCAUGUCUUGGCUAUUGUGAAUAGUGCUGCAAUGAACAUGCGGGUGCAUGUCUUUUUCAAGGAAAAUUUUGUCUGGAUAUAUGCCCAAGAGUGGGAUUGCUGGAAUACAACUUUUUAACAUCCUCCUUCAUGAUGGAUUCUUAUUUUCAAUAUUGAUUUGAUUAAAAAAAAAUUUACUUAACUCUUCAAAAAUAAGUAAAAAAAAAUUUACUUAACUCUUCAUAGACCUUCACAUGAAAUCAAAAUAGUAUUAUGUGAUUGUAUUACCUUGAUAUGUGUUGUGUAUUUUUCUUGAUUCUAUCUCCUAUAUCCUUUAUAAAAUUACCCUCAGAAAUUUUCUUAAGAGAAUCUUUGUUUAUUUCUAUCUGAUAUUAUCCAUCAUUUUGUUCCUUCAUUCUCUAUUUAACAAACUUGUAUUGUUUUAUAUACUGUUCUAGGAAAUGGCAGUGAAAUAAGAGAUAUGGCUUUUCCUCCAAAGACAUCAUCUAUUGUAAAGCAGAAGAAAAAUAUCUCUAAUUAAAUGUACUGAAACACAAUAACUCCUCCAAUCAAAAAGAGAAGGAUGAGAGCUAUGGAAAUUUUAAUCUUCCCUUUUUAAAUUAUAAUUACAAUUACAAUUAAAAUUACAAUGAUAAUUAGAAAUGUCGUAAAAUUGCCAAAGUUAGAUUUAAGUAUAUCUGAAAGUUUGAUUUAUCACUGAGAUUAAAAAUUUAAAUUUAAUCUCAUUUUAAAUAAAUUCCAGGUCUAAUAGAAAAUUGCCACAUUUCUUUAAAUUUUAUAUAACCAAAAAUAUUGUAUUAAGAUAGCUCUAUUUUUGGUUGUCAUAUUAUAAUAACAAUAUUAAUAAUAUAUUAAAGAAUAAUAGCUUUUUAUCAUCUAGCUAGAACUUUUUACACCAAAACCAAUUGAUCAACCAAAAUAGCAAUAAAAAAAAUCAGUUUAGAAAUUUAUUCAUAACUUUAAGUAUUACAUAGAAUUUUAUUAUCGCUGUUUUCUGCAGGGUAGGCUUUACAUUUGUGCAAUCCAUUUAAUUUAAUCUUUAGUUGUGGAGCACCACAUUCCAAACUAUAUAACUCUAAAUCCUUUUACUCUCAUUGCACAUGAUUUUAAAUUCCUUUACUUCUUUCUGAUAGGCUUUUGAAUUGGUUCUGAGAAGGAUUGCAUUUGUUUUAAUAUUCAUGUUAUUCUUGAAUAUGAAAAUUACAUUAAGUGCUUCAUAAAAUAUUUGAUUGUCCUUAAUUAAGAAAUAAAACAUUAUUGGCCAUUUGUUGCAAAUCAUGGCAAAAGAUACAGCCAGGCAAUGUGGAGAAGGAUAUUGAUAAUUUUGCUAUUGUUGCUGCUAUGUUUUUAAAUAAAAUGGGAGUCAAUAAAAGUGAUUUAUUUUGCUCUGCAUGGAAUUAACUUCUUACUGAAUAGUUUGUGGAAUUAUAUUUCCCAGUUUUUGUGCCAAUAGCUAAGUAUGUACUCAGGCAAGGGCAAAACAAUGAUCUGUUGAAUAGAAUUUACUUUUCAAAAUAGGCUGAGGUGGCUUUGGGCUGGGGAACUCCUUAAACAUGGACUUGGAAACCAUUUCCUAGGACCCAAAGUGAAAUACACUGAGUUCCCUCAGGAGUCUGGAGAUGGACACUGUUCUUUAGAGUAUAAAUCUAACAUAGAUUUAUAUACAUGCCAGGUUUAACUUUUGAACCUGCUGCUUCUAUGAGGCCGGAAAUUAAAACAGCAGAUAUUUUUGAUACUUUUAAUAUUUUUAUAUAAUCCAAAAAUAAUCCUAUUACUAGAGCGGUCCAUUGUCUCCUCUCUAAAAGGUUUCUUGCUCCCCGUUGAAAUCUGGAAUCAUUAUUUUUUUCACUGGGGGACCGGCUAAUCAGCAUUUUUUCUUCUAUAAAAACUGCCAGAAGGAAUCUGUGAGAUAAAAACUCCUUACAGAAGAAUUUGAAGGGUUUAAUGUGGGUAUUUGAAAAUCCAAUUCCUCCACAUAAAAUAAGGAAUUAAAAAUAGAUGCUGGCUUUGUCAUGAUUAUUUAUGCUGGAAAUACUUAAACCAUAUCCUUCUAUCCAUCCCCUCCCCUUUCUUUUUUUGUCUUUUUGUCUUUUCCAGAGCAGCACCAGUAGCACAUGGAGGUUCCCUUGCUAGGGGUCUAAUAGGAGCUGUAGCCUCAGGCCUAUGCCAUAGCCACAGCAAUGCCAGAUCCUAGCUACGUCUGUGACCUACACCACAGCUCAUGGCAACAUUGGAUCCUUAACCCACUGAGCGAGGCCAGGGAUCGAACCUGAAACCUCGUGGUUCCUGGUCUGAUUCAUUAACCACUGAGCCAUGACGGGAACUCCUACUAUCCAUCCUCUUAAAAACAAAGUGUUCUCUAAAAGAUAAAGGUCACACACACACACACACACACACACACACACACACCAGAAUGUUAUUCAUGAAAAAGAAGGAAAUCCUGACAUUUAUUACAACAUGGAUGGACCUUGAAGAUCUUAUGGUAAAUGAGAUAAAUCAGACAAAGACAAAUCUGUAUGAUAUCACUUAUAUGUGGAAUCUAAAAAAAUCAUACUUUAAAAAACAGAGUAGAGUUGUAGUUACCAGAGGCUUUGGGUUAGAGGAAACUGGGGAGAUGUUUUUUUAGGGUACAAAUUUCAACUAGUAGAUAAAUAACUAGUGGAGAUCGAAUGCACAGCAUAGAGGUUAUUGCCAAUAAUACUAUACUAUAAACUUCAAAGUUCCUAGGAAACUAGAUUAUAAUCUGUUCCCACCACCAAAAAGGCAUGAUAAUUAUGUGAAGUGAUAGGAGUGUUAAAUUCACUGUAGUGGGAAUCAUAUUGAAACAUAUAAAUGCAUCAAAUCAACACAAUACGUCAAUUACCUUAGUAAAGUAUAGAACAAUAAAAUCCUCUUCUAUACUUUACUACGACCACUUUAAAAAUUUUAUUGAUGUAUAGUUGAUUUACAAUGCUGUAUUAUGUUUACUAUGACCAUUUUUUAUGACUGUGUAUUCUGAACGGCUUUAGUCUUCUCUGUAGACCUAGAAUUAUUUCAAAUGUUGCGUAUCUUUAACUUCAAUUCCCCUAAAUGUCCUCAUAUGCUAUGUCUAAACUAUUAAAAUCAGUUGAGCAUCUAAAAUGAGUGAUGAGUUUUAAAAGAAAACUCAAAUUUAUUGGUGGUGUGUUGUGCCCAGUUCAACAAUGGUUUGCUAUUCACUGCAGUCAAGAGCACAGGCCAGACUGCUUUGGUCUUUGAGCUCUGACUCAGUCAGUUAACAGCUGUGAGAUCUGGGGUAAACCACUCAUACUUGUUAAGCUUCAGUUCUCUCAUCUUUGAAAUGAGGGUAAUAAUGCUUAAUUCAAAGGAUUUUUGAAGAUUAAACGCAACAAUGCAUGAAAAGUAUUCUGUAUGGCAUGAGACUAAUAUAUAAGUAUUUAACAAUUAUGAACAAUUAUUGCCAUUAAUUAUCAUCCAAUUCACAGUUAGAAAUGACUAAAACAAUGAGAGAAGGAAAUUGUCUUUGUACUAACAGUCACUAAGUCUGUAGGUAAUUUUAUGUCCCUCCCAUAUGUGAACUUAUUAACUAGAAUAAUUUCCAAAUAAUGCACUUUAUCCACAUGAAUCAAACACUGAACAUUAGUCAUCCAAUCAGCUUGUAUAUUUUAAAAUAAUAACCCAAACUACAUUUUGCCAUGUGAAAGAAUUCAUAUACAUGAAUAUAUAGGUAUAUUAUAUCUCUCUAUAAUUCAAAUGAACAUAUAAAAUAAAUCCAUGGAAAAUGGGGAAGCAAACUGGUACUGAUGGGCCACUUACUACAUAUAAGUCACUGUAUUAAGUCAAUAGCCUCUAUUAUUUCAAUGAAUUUCAGACCAAUACCCAGGGCUUUUAUCCCACACUGACAGUGAACAAAAGGAAGCUCAGACUGGAUAAGCAGCUCACCCACAGUCACAAGCUGGCAUCGUACUGCUUCAGAUGGCAAAUACUUGCCAUUUGAAAGUUACAACAUAGUCGGGAUCCACAAAAAAGCCAGAAGACAUGGAUAAUUUUUAUGCUAAUUGUGUGAAAAUGAUGAUUAUUUUAUGAGGGCUAAACUUUUUGGAAAAUAAUUAGGCAUUGGAUCUGAUAGAUUUAAAUUAGUUUUAGAAAGAAGUUAGGAAUGUUUUUUAAGGGUGAGAUGAUAGAUGUUUUAUGCUUUACAUGCCAUAUGUUUCGGUUGCAUAUUCUUCUUCAAAUUUAUGCUUUGUUUUAAUUUUUACAAUGCUUUAAAAGUUGUCUUUCAUACAAUCUCGGGUUAAGAAUCAGCAAUUCAGGAGUUCCCGUCGUGGCGCAGUGGUUAACGAAUCCGACUAGGAACCAUGAGGUUGCGGGUUCGGUCCCUGCCCUUGCUCAGUGGGUUAAUGAUCUGGCGUUGCCGUGAGCUGUGGUGUAGGUUGCAGACGCGGCUCGGAUCCUGCGUUGCUGUGGCUCUGGUGUAGGCUGGCAGCCACAGCUCCGAUUAGACCCCUAGCCUGGGAACCUCCAUAUGCCGCGGGAGCGGCCCAAAGAAAUAGC